rnacentral:lncRNA from 1 species
AACAACCAACUGUAAUUGUAAAUAUAAUUUGUCAUCGUUCUAGCUCUUUUUAUGACAUUGGAAAUAUUCUCUCUCUUCCCCAUUGCCUCAAACAUGAGAUCAAUACGAUGUGCUGCACAUGAUGUCCAAAAUACAUUAUGAUGCUUCAUUAACUUUUUUCUGGCUUUGACAAAUGCAGAACCGUUGUCGGUCACGACUUGGACAACAUUAUGCUC